GACCCGUCUUGAAACACGGACCAAGGAGUCUAACAUGUACGCGAGUCAUUGGGACCGCAAAACCUAAAGGCGUAAUGAAAGUAAAGGUUAACCUUGCGUUAACUAAGGGAGGAUGGGUUGCGUUACGAUGCAUCCCCGCACUCCCGGGGCGUCUCUAACUUAUUGCAAGUUGAGGCGCACCCAGAGCGUACACGUUGGGACCCGAAAGAUGGUGAACUAUGCCUGGUCAGGACGAAGUCAGGGGAAACCCUGAUGGAGGUCCGUAGCGAUUCUGACGUGCAAAUCGAUCGUCGGAACUGGGUAUAGGGGCGAAAGACUAAUCGAACCAUCUAGUAGCUGGUUCCCUCCGAA
rnacentral:rRNA from 1 species